rnacentral:rRNA from 1 species
AGAGUUUGAUCCUGGCUCAGGAUAAACGCUGGCGGCGUGCCUUAUGCAUGCAAGUCGUACGUGAGACCGGCUUCGGCCGGUUGAAAGUGGCGAACGGGUGAGUAACACGUAGGAACCUGCCCGGAAGUGGGGGAUAACCCCGCGAAAGCGGAGCUAAUACCGCAUGUGGUCGCAAGACCAAAGCUUCGGCGCUUCCGGAGGGGCCUGCGGCGGAUUAGCUAGUUGGUGGGGUAAUGGCCUACCAAGGCGACGAUCCGUAGCUGGUCUGAGAGGAUGGUCAGCCACACUGGAACUGAGACACGGUCCAGACUCCUACGGGAGGCAGCAGCAAGGAAUUUUGCGCAAUGGGCGAAAGCCUGACGCAGCAACGCCGCGUGGGGGAAGAAGGCCUUCGGGUUGUAAACCCCUUUUGCGAGGGAAGAAGAUCUGACGGUACCUCGCGAAUAAGCCACGGCUAACUACGUGCCAGCAGCCGCGGUAAUACGUAGGUGGCGAGCGUUGUCCGGAUUUACUGGGCGUAAAGCGCGCGCAGGCGGACUGAUUAGUCCGGGGUGAAAUCUCACGGCUCAACUGUGAGUGGUCCCCGGAUACUGUCAGUCUUGAGGUGUCUAGAGGAGAGCGGAAUUCCCGGUGUAGUGGUGGAAUGCGUAGAUAUCGGGAAGAACACCAGUGGCGAAAGCGGCUCUCUGGGGACCACCUGACGCUGAGGCGCGAAAGCGUGGGGAGCGAACCGGAUUAGAUACCCGGGUAGUCCACGCCGUAAAC